CGUUAGGAUGGAGCCCGGGAGCAGCUCAGGGACGGGGGAGGGGCUCUGGGGAGGCCCCGUGAGAGCACCAGAAUUUGCUGAGGUCUGACCUGGAGCCGCUGGAGUGUUGAAGGAGUUCAGUUUGGUUUCCUGAGAAUGCUGCUGCUGCUGAAGGGCCUUACGACUCUGUCAGACCAAACACUGUCUAGAAGCAGAGUGCCCAAGGCGAGAGCAGCAGAUGUUCAAGGUGUGAGUUAUCUGUGCUAGCUGAGUGUCACCAAACCAGUGAUGGCAAAUCCCUUCAGCACAUCAGUAACACACACGAGCCAAGAGCUGCUGGCAAGAGAAGCUCAUCUAGAGGACAAGCAAUGACCAAGCACCAGAGGAAACCAGGAAUUGUAGAACUGGGUCAUUGUUUCCUGGAAUCAGUGUGUUUAUGGGAAAUGAGCCCAUGGAAGGUGUGGAAUGUUCAUGUUUCAGUGUACACAGUGGGUGCACUUUGGCCUGUGGCACGCUCCUUUGG